CAGAGCGACCCGAGAACGAACGAUCAUCACCUCCGGCGGGCCGGUCUCUUAGCUGAUUCCGUGACCGCUGGAUCCGUGGUUUCGCGAAGUGCUCCGAUCACGACUCGCGUCUUCGAUCUGGGCUCUGCGCGUUGCUUCCGGACUUAACAAAACCCCGGCACGAAAAGUGUCAAGGAACAUGCAACUAAACAGCUACCCAUCCACGAACCCCGGAGACGGUGUGUCCGCGGAUGCUUAGCCGUAAAAUCUAAAGUCUAAAACGACUCUCGGCAACGGAUAUCUCGGCUCUCGCAUCGAUGAAGAACGUAGCGAAAUGCGAUACUUGGUGUGAAUUGCAGAAUCCCGUGAACCAUCGAGUCUUUGAACGCAAGUUGCGCCCCAAGCCUUCUGGCCGAGGGCACGUCUGCCUGGGUGUCACAAAUCGUCGUCCCCUCCAUCCUCUCGAGGAUUGCGGGACGGAAGCUGGUCUCCCGUGUGUUACCGCACGCGGUUGGCCAAAAUCCGAGCCAAGGACGCCGGGAGCGUCUCGACAUGCGGUGGUGAAAACAAAGCCUCUUCAUAUCGUCGGUCCGCUCCUGUCCGGAAGCUCUAGAUGACCCAG
rnacentral:misc_RNA from 1 species